UACGAAGGGGGCUAGCGUUGUUCGGAAUUACUGGGCGUAAAGGGCGCGUAGGCGGUCUAACAAGUCAGGUGUGAAAGCCCCGGGCUCAACCCGGGAACUGCACUUGAUACUGUCUGACUUGAGUGUGGGAGAGGUUGGUGGAAUUCCCAGUGUAGAGGUGAAAUUCGUAGAUAUUGGGAAGAACACCCGUGGCGAAGGCGGCCAACUGGACCACAACUGACGCUGAGGCGCGAAAGCGUGGGGAGCAAACAGG
rnacentral:rRNA from 1 species